rnacentral:rRNA from 1 species
UACGUAGGAGGCAAGCGUUGUCCGGAUUUACUGGGCGUAAAGCGCGCGCAGGCGGCAGUGCAAGUAAGGUGUGAAAUCUCCCUGCUCAACGGGGAGGGUGCAUUUUAGACUGCACAGCUAGAGGUCGGUAGAGGGGGGUGGAAUUGCUGGUGUAGCGGUGAAAUGCGUAGAGAUCCGGAGGAACACCAGAGGCGAAGGCGGCCUACUGGGUCAGUACUGACGCUGAGCCGCGAAAGCCAGGGGGGCGAACGGG